GCUGGUAUAGCUCAGUGGUAGAGCGCACGCUUAGCAUGCAUGAGGUCCUGGGUUCAAUCCCCAGCACUUCCA
rnacentral:tRNA from 1 species